rnacentral:rRNA from 1 species
GAUGAACGCUAGCGGCAGGCCUAACACAUGCAAGUCGAGGGGCAGCACAGAAACAGCAAUGUUUUGGUGGCGACCGGCGGACGGGUGCGUAACGCGUAUGCAACCUACCUUUAACAGGGGGAUAACGGAGAGAAAUUUCCACUAAUACCCCAUAACAUCGAUCAAGGCAUCUUGAUUGGUUGAAAACUCCGGUGGUUAAAGAUGGGCAUGCGUUGUAUUAGGUAGUUGGUGAGGUAAUGGCUCACCAAGCCUACGAUACAUAGGGGGACUGAGAGGUUAGCCCCCCACACUGGUACUGAGACACGGACCAGACUCCUAAGAGAGGCAGCAGUGAGGAAUAUUGGUCAAUGGGGGCAACCCUGAACCAGCCAUGCCGCGUGCAGGAAGACGGCUCUAUGAGUUGUAAACUGCUUUUGUACGAGGGUAAAGUGGGUUACGUGUAACCUUUUGAAAGUACCGUACGAAUAAGGAUCGGCUAACUCCGUGCCAGCCGCCGCCGUAA